CGGAUGAUGGAACGGGCUAAAGCACGAAAGGAUCGCCUGAAAAAUCAAUUGAAAAUCACAGACGGUCUGAGAAUUGGCAUUCAGCCAAAUGUCUCACCGCUGAAGGAACCAAACUUCACAAAUGCUGUUGACUCAGAGCCAUUUACAAGGAAGUUUAUGCAUGACACUAAAUCUCCACAUUAUGUGCAUUCACAUGAUACCUCAUCAAGUUCAUAUGCAGCGGUUGAUGGAGUAGAUGAAAAUGCACCGUUUUUAGGCAGCAAAAAACUGAAGAAAGUUCAUCCUUGUCAACAGGAGUAAAUUUAGUUUCAUCAAAGACUCGAUUGAAGGAACAAUCACCAUUCAGAGCACAAGUUGAUUUUACUGCAACUGAUAUUCAGAAACCUGAUUCAAAGUCUUUCUUCAGCAGACAAGGAGUAAAGUCCACUUUUAAUGUCGAUGUCAGUGUACAAUCUCCUCAAAAAACUUCUGCUCCUCCCUCCGACAUGACAGCUGCAGAUCCUGAGACACAUUGCAUCAUUCGACCAGGAGAGGAAGUCACAAUCGAAGCGGACCCCCAAGAUAUGCAAGAGGCAGAGAUCACUCAUUCAAAUUUGACCAGGCAAGAUGCAAAGAUGAGACUGAAGAAGCUUGGUGCCCUUUACGGAGAUCGGCCAAGUCGAGUGUCCUCUCCUAUACAACAAACAGAAGAAUUAUUUGCUGCAGAAGAAAUUAAAAAAACUAGCGGUAAAUCAAUAGCUCGAUCUGCCAGGCUUGCUGCUCUCGCGAGUCAAAUCAAUCAGUGGGAGGAUGAUGUCAAAAAUGUACCCACUAGUUCAGUAAAAGAGGUGUCAAGAAAAGGUAAAGACGAAACACCACGAUUUCAACACUCUGUUACCUUCCAAUCUCCUAAGAAAGCUGGCUUAUCUCUUGAAGCAAGAUUUUCUUCUAUCACUCCUCAUCAGUUUAUAAAAUCUAAUUAUCAAAGUGGUGGCAUUUCAAUGAUGGCUCGAGCUCAAAAAUCAGUUUUGAAAAACAAACCUGCCGAAGAACUUAUAGUCGAUGGGGUUUUCUCUUCUGACGGAAGUGUACCUGUGAGGAGGGAUGUUGAAUUUACAUCUCCUGUGAAAGAGAUUUCAGGGGAACCUUCCCUCAGCCAAGCGAGAUCUCCAGCCAGGCCUAAAAUUCGGAUAAAUCCAUUACAGACAUAUUCUCCAAACAGGACAUCGCCCACAAAACAGUUAAGUCCUCAAAAAACAGCAUGGCCACAACCAUUUAGUUCACCACGUUUGAAAAACCCAAGUCAACUUUCUCCAGUUACUUCCCACACCAGCCCUUCCAAGUCAGCCUCAUAUUCUCCAAACAAGACAUCGCCUAUGAAACAGAUGAAUCCUCAAAAAACCACGUGGCUACAACCAUUCAGUCUGCCAAGUUCCACAAAUCCAAGCGAAUCCUGCCCAGUUACUUCUCAUACUAGCCCUCUCAAGUCAGCCUCACCUCGCCGAAUCAAUCUUUUAAGUCCAAAAAGACCAUCAAAGAACACUCCUAACCCAGGCUUCGUCCUUCAAAAAGCCAUCGCAUAUGAACAAGCUGUAAGUCCCACGAAAAAUAUUGUUAAGGACCCUGCUGAAUUGUCUUUAGCGGAGAGAAAAGCACUCUUUGAGAAAAAUAACAGCAAACCUAUUCUUCCUAAGGUACCUUUUGGUCAACCACUUCCCGUCAAUAAUAAGCAAACAAAUACUCACAUUAUGGAAGCCUGCGCAACUUCAACAAUGAAGGUAAAUAAUUUACCUUGGUCUCUCAAGCAAGAAGUCAUAGAAAAUUCAACAAAAAAAGGAAAUAAUUUACCUUACUCUCCAAUCAAGGACAAAUUGCCAGCAAAUAUGACUAUGGAAACUGAUGAUUCGUCUAACUCAUCCAAGAAGAAUCCAGUGCACUCGGCAGGUAAUAGACUCAACAAAAUAUUUGUCUUGUGAACUUCUCAUUUAACUUGGAAAAACGAUUUAUCCAAUCAAUAAUUAAGUACUCACAAAAUUAUUUAACCGCUGCAAUUUUAGCAAUUGCCAGGAUCUGUUAAUUUCUUUUUUGCUUUUCAAUCUGGCUCUGUUCCAAGGGAAAGCUGAAGCCAUGAACUUAAAGACCGAUUCUUGAAGGAUUAUAAUCUGAUUUUUGGUAACUGAACAGACGGCCAAUUUUAUUGAUAUUUUUUCUUCCAAAAUAGUCUUUUAAAAGUAUGAGCCUGAAAAUUUGUUCGUUUUUUACUUCCAGAUUCAUGGGUACGUACUUAAUUCAUUGUAUCUUAAUCACAAGUAAAAAUAUAUUUUUCCUACCAUCACCUUCAAUCCAAUAAUAGCACAAUUUUGAAGGAGCAAUUACGUAAAGGAUAGUAUUUUCGAACAGUAAAGUCCAAUUUUUAUAACCUGUUUGAAGUCCUUAUUGAUGAAAGGCCCAGCAGUGUCAUCUAUGAUAGGAGACAGAAAGUUUUAAGAUUCUAUAAUGGACCAAUUUUGGUGUUUUAUAUGGCAUUUCAAUGUUAGACCACCUGUAGCAGAAAAUUACAUACAUGACCAAGUUGAAGUUUGGUGCGAUAACUCCUUCAGUUUAAAGGGAGUGCUUUCUUGGUGGCAGAUGUUUUUGCAAAAACUACCAAAAGGGAUACAAGGUUUAAAAAACAUGCAAAUGGGUCAGUGCAAUAUUUGUGGCAUAUCAUUUUAGCAGAGUAUUUACCAGCAGCCUGUCUUUAUGUGGAAAAGGUUGUUUCAUCUGCCAUUGGAACUGGGCCCAGAAUGAAAUCUUCUCAUCUUUUCAGGUAUUAAAAAGCUUGAAAAAAAGAAAGCCGAAACUAAAAAACUCAAACUCAUAAAAAUUAAUUAAAAUUGCCGAUGUGUUUCAGGGCUGCCCUGUAGCUCAAAUUUUAAUUAAUUUUUGUGAGUUAGAGUUUUUUAGUUUCGGCUUUCUUUAUUUUCAUUAUUUAGCUCACAGUUUGUUACCUUGAUUUCCCGUUUGUUUUGUUUUGUUUAGUUUUUGUUACUUUCGGUUCGUUACAUUAAAAAACUUGGUCAAGAAUCCCCUGCUCCCAUUCCUUAGGGAAGGCCCCCUUUAAAAAACCAACAAAUUGUCAAAAAGUUUGAGGAGGGAAGGAAAAACUAAUCAUAAUCUGACCAACCAAAAGCCAACAGUCAUGAUGUUGUAAUUGGGCCGUAACUUUGCUGGGCUCCAGCCAAUUAGCCAAUACCAGCCCCAUAUCACAAAUCAUCUCUCAUAUUUCUAACUUGGUGGCACAACCGUACUGCCGUGCUAAGGAAGUAGGAAGAAGUGCCGUGCUGUAUGAACCAUCAGAUUCAAACUGAGAUGUUUACGUUCAAAGUCUAAGGCAUGCCUCUCUGCCAGAUUUGCAAAUUUUAAGUUUUCGUUUUCUCCCAUGAACAGCUUAAUAUCUUGGCUGUUCACUAGCGCUUAGAUAAUUUGCAAUAAGAUACUGACAUCCCGGAAAAUCACAAAAGAAUAAGGGUAUGUCGGACUUACGGCGAACUGCCCGUGCAGACAGGAUCCUUUCACUGUACCGAUUUUGCUGUGUGUCCAUCCUAGCGCUGAGGACGAGCUUCCAAAGCCGCCGGCUGGUUUAAGGGUCUCACCUCUUUUCGUUUCUGUUGGAUUUAUUUUUGCAGGAAUCAUUUCACCUAUAACAAAAAUCAUUAACCCUGCGUGUUUCUAAGGUAGAACUAUUUUAAAAUUUCAAGUAAAAACUAAUAAGGAAGAAUAAUAAUUACGAAAGUAACUACAAAUGAAUUGAAAGCUUCAUAUUUUUCUGUUUUAUUUGUAUGUUUCUAAUCUGAAUAGGGGGCAUGUUACAUUGAAAGUUGGCCUUAAAGGAAAAAAGUAAGUUCUGCGCAGAAAAAACAAUGUUAGUGGUUUGUAGUUUCCUGAUUCCAGUAAAAAAUAAAAUUCUUUUUUUCCCCUUUGCAACCUUUGUUUUUCUCCCUCUUUUCACUCACUAGGUAUCUUGAGGAGUCUAUUCUGCUUUCAUACAUUUAUUUUUUCUCUACGAGGCUACCUUUCUAAACUACUUGACUUACUUAAUUAUGACAUCUAAACUUCAAAGAUAUGAAAGGAAAACAUCACCGUGAGUCCGGGCAUUGGCGAGGGCUGCACGAGGCCAGUGCCGUAUGUCCGCAAAGCACGGGGAAACACGCCGUGAGUGCCACCCGUGUCCCGAGUUUCCUGGACGUACGGCAGUCUAUCGUUGCAACCUCGCCUCUAUGCGGGACAUACUGCAGGCACCCCCUCCAUAUCUGUGAAACCAAUGAAGAUACGCCUUUGUUGACUUCACCAUUGAAUAGAGCAUGCUUUACUCAGUAUAAUUUCGUAUCUAACUCAAACAAUUUUUUGGCUCAUAUGGCGUUUUUCCUUAGCACGGCAGCUUACAUGUUUAUGUUUUGGAUGGAAUUUCUUUAUUUGUGAAUUAAAUAUUUCAACAUGCAACUA
rnacentral:lncRNA from 1 species